rnacentral:ncRNA from 1 species
GAUAAAUUGGGUUUGAUCCUGGCCCAGGGUGAACGCUAGUAGUAUGCUUAACACAUGCGAGUCGAACGAAGUUUUAUUUGUGGCACACGGGUGAGUAACACAUAGGAAUCUGCCUAUUAGUUCAGGAUAAAAUUCUGAAUAAUCAAAGAAAACUUUUCGCUAAUAGAAGAGCCUAUGUAGGAUUAGGUAGUUGGUAUUUUGGGUAAAAGCCUACCAAGCCUAAGAUCCUUAGCUGUUCUGAGAGGUUGAACAGCCACACUGGGACUGAGACAAGGCCCAGGCUCCAUUUGGAGCCAGCAGUGAGGAAUUUUGGACAAUGAGCGAAAGCUUGAUCCAGCAAUACUACAUGAGUGAAGAAGGCUUUCAAGUUGUAACACUCUUUGGUUGAGGAGGAUAAUGACAGUACUCAACAAAAUAGCCCCGGCUAACUUCGUGCCAGCAGCCGCGGUAAGACGAAGGGGGCGAGCGUUAUCCGGAAUGACUGGGCGUAAAGGGUCCGUAGGCAGCAUUUUUUGUUGGAAGUUAAAUAAAAAAGCUUAACUUUUUUCCGCUUCUAAAACGUAAAUGCUUUGAGUUUGAUAGAAGAUAGCAGAAUUUCACAAGGAGGGGUGAUAUCCAGAGAUCUGUGAAGGAAUAUCAGAUGCGAAGGCGGCUAUCUAGAUCAACACUGACGUUGAGGGACGAAAGCAUGGGGAGCAAACAGGAUUAGAUACCCUGGUAGUCCAUGCCCUAAAAGAUGAGUGUUCGUGCUUAGAGAACUUUAGGCACUUAGUUAACACGUUAAACACUCCGCCUGGGGAGUACGAUCGCAAGGUUGGAACUCAAAGGAAUUGACGGGGGCCUAUACAAGUGGUGGAGCAUGUGGUUUAAUGCGAUAAUACGCGCGAAACCUUACCAGUUCUUGACAUAAAAAAGAAAAAGUUUGAAAAAGCAAUUUUAAAGAUUUUU